rnacentral:rRNA from 1 species
UUUAGUACGAGAGGACUGGGUUGGGUAGAUCUCUGGUGAAUUAAUUGUUGUAACAACAGCAUGGUUAAGUAGCUACAUUCAAAUAUAAAUGAUUAUUAGUAUCAUUUUGAGAUAACUGCUGAAAAAAUAUUAAGUAGGAAACUUGUUUCAGAUCUUUUCUUAUUCAGGUAAUAGACUAUUACUUAGAUAGGCUACGUAUAAAAUAUAAUAGUAAUAUAUUAUAAAGAUUGAAUAAAUCUUUCGAUUAAUUUAAUAAUUAAUUUGAUCUCUUUUAGAGAUUAGUAAAGUAGUAUAAAGAUGGAUGAAAAUUUUUUGCUAUAAU